UGUCUAUGGUGGUUAUCUCCUUUUAUUAAGACGGUUUUCACACUCCCUUCCGAAUCCCACUCCCACGUUCUGCCUCUACACUCCUUUAUAUAUCACUCUUCAAUCCCCAUUGGAACUCCUCUCACUCUAAUAAUACAUAACCCUAACCAUCACCAAUUGACAAUCAUCGCACAACCACCACCGCAACGAGGGGAAUGGACCGGCAACCGUCACACCACCACUCCGACGACGGCCGCACUAGCGGCGAACUUCCGGCACUCGAUUGUCACAUCACUUCUCUCUGCGAUCAUAUUCAAUCGGAAACUUCUAAUCACGGAUUGUUCUCGAAUGUAAUCAUGAAGGCUAUGGUCGCUAGGUGGUUAUCUUCUAAUUUUAGGCCCAUUAUAUCCACACCUCUAGCAAAGGUCAUCGAGUAAUCAAGUGGGACUUCUGAUAUAAAAAAGUAAUUAAUGUUAGUGAUGACAAACCAAGUGCUUGAAGUUUAAAGGAGUUUUUCUCUCUACCCUGCACAUUAACUCAAUUACAUGAUUUGACACACUUCUAAGGAGGUUAAACUUCUGGAUAAACAAGGGGAUUAUUGCCGAUUGCUGAGUCAUCAUGUGCUGUCUCAAAUGACCGCUUGUGUACACUAGAGAAUGACAUGGCUGAUGGUGGCAAAUCAGUAACCAAUAAUGAGGCGUUGGGGGAAGAUGAUGAUGCUGAGACAUCAGUGGCUUCAGUUGAAGAUCGAUUAAGAAAAAAAAAACUUAUUCAUCAUUGGAAUGCUUAAAAAUGUCGGUAAGAUGAGAUUUGAGCGGAUUCAUAACAUUCUCAAGGUGGAUUCCACACUGCUUUUGGAGAGCAAGGGAACAAAUAGAAGAUCCCAGAGUUAACAUCAUGGAGCUUAAAUUGCCUGUGAUGUAGGCAUAUGAACCUGCUGCCAUGUUUAAAAAAACUACACUAAAUUGACAAGUAAGAUGCAAUGACAACAAUUCUACUAUGGCCGGGUUUGACAUUCAACCAAUCUGGAAACAGAUGGCUUGCAUAGUCUGAGGUGAGACUAAAUUCAAGAAUUUGAAAAAAAGCAAAACCACUGCAGGGGCUGCAGGGAUUUCAGUCACAUUCCUUGGAGAAAACAUUGUAACCGGGCUAAAACUUGAAGAUCAAAUUGCACUUGGGAGACGAUACUCGACCAUCGGGAGUGCAGGUACAGUUCGGUUCCAAUCCGAUACAACUUUUGGAGCCAACAUCGAGGUCCAACGGCGGGAGCUGGAUUACCCAAUCAGUCAAGUUCAGUCAACAAUCCGGUUAUCCAUCAUAAAAUGGAGGGGUGAUUUGGCGUUAGGAUUUAACAAUUUGGCUCAGUUCUCAGUUCUCUGCUGGGCGAAACUCAAAAGUGGCGGUUCGAGCCGGAAUUAACAAUAAAAUGAGUGGUCAAAUCAAGUGGAAAACUAGCAGCUCGGAAUGUCUUUCACUUGCACUUGCAGUAGUUAUUCCAUCUGUUAUUUUGGCUUACAAGAAAUUGAGGUCCGGUGUUGGUGAUAUAGACAAGUACUCCCGUAUUAAAGUUAGCAGGCUUUUAUGGUCGGGCUUAUUUGGUAUUUUUGAGAUUGUUGUGUUUUGAUUUUAUAUCGAAUAAUAUGCUUAUUUACUUUAUUCAGCAGUUGAAACUUUUGUUUGUUUUUGGUGCUCUCAACAAUGUAGUAAGAUGUUGAGAUGAAAUUACGAGGGAUCCUUAUUACUUACUAUCUUUGUGUUUGGCCUGCUGUUAUUAUAUAUAAGAUUAUUAUGGUAUGUGCCUCGC